CUAUCUUUUACUUUACCCCACAAAGGGCAAUCGUAUCCAUUUUCGAUCCUUCAACGCUCAAAUUACUGCUUCGUAUCACCAUCUUCCAACCUCGAUUCCUUCUCAGGCUGUCAUUUCUCUUUACCUCGUACUUGUAAGGUUUUUCCUUUUAGGGCUUCGCAGCAGAAUCCCCGAGACAGCCAUGGAUUGGGGCAACGUUACAGCGGAGGAUCUGGUCGACGCCCUCCGCGAGGUCGAGUGGUCGGCUCCACCGCGCCCUCUCUCCGAAUUCUUCUCCAGAUUCACCUUCCCCCGAUCUUACGCCAAAUGGAAUAGCCGCCUUAAAUGCAAUCUCUACUACUAUCGAACCAACUACUUCAUUAUGAUAAUAUUCAUUCUUGGAUUGGGUUUUCUUCGGAGGCCACUUGCUCUUGUAGCUGCUUGUCUGACAGCACUUAGCAUUGCUUUUCUGAAUGAUAGCUUUGCAGGUACUUUUAGUGAGAAGGUAACAAGAACAGUAAGGCAAUUCUCGCCACACUUAGCUGCAAAGAUGAGGCCUGCUCUUACGCCUGUUAUUCGUGGACGUCCAUCAGCUAAAAGAGCAAUAUAUAUUUGUGGUCGGCCUCGUUGGGUGUUUGUUUUGAUAUUCUCUACUGUGAGUUUCUUCCUCUGGUUUGUUUCCUGUGGUCUCUUAAUGGUCCUAUGGGCUCUUGCCAUUGGACUUCUUGCCACCAUCCUGCAUGCAAGUUUUAGAACACCUAAUUUGAAAGCACGUUUGAACACAUUCCGUGAGGAAUUUCGUGCGGUUUGGCGCAAUUAUAGUGAGCUGUAGCUUACAUGGAGUUUGUAGAAUGUUGCGCCAGGUUUUGUAUUUAACCUCGUCAAUAGUUUGACAUGCUAAUGUUGGCGAUGGGACGUUUGAAUACAAUCCCAAUGGGAUUGUUUUGAUUCUGAAGGUCAUUCAAGUUGUCAUUUUUUAUUUGGGAUCAGCUACUGCCACUUUGGGUAUAAAAUAAUACCACUUCGCUGGACUGGGGUUCGUAGGGGAAAACUGCUGAUAUAUACAGAUCACCAAGUUGUAUAUUAACUGGAACUAAAAUUUCUGUAGCAGACUGUUUCAAUUUCUUACUUGGUAUGUAGAAGAAACCAUGGAGCAUUAGAAUGCAGAGAGCGCAGAUGUUCUAGGGAUACCUGGGCACGCGGUAAAUGCCCACCCUAGUUUGUGAUAGAAUUUAAUCUUUGGUUAAUAGAAAUUAGUAGUAAAAGUUGCCUGUA